rnacentral:tRNA from 1 species
ACUUAAGUAGUUUAAUAGAAAAAUAUUGAUUUGUGGAAUCAUAGAUGUAGUUGUACCUUAGGUA